CAGAGUUGCAAGACUCCCUAACCCAUUGUGAACCUACCUUCUACCGUUGCUUCGGCGGGCGGGCCCAGCGCCCCCCCCGGCCCCCCGCGGGCGCCCGCCGGAGGAUACCCAAACUCUUGACAUUAGUGGCCUCUCUGAGUAUUCUUUACUGAAUAAGUCA
rnacentral:misc_RNA from 1 species